rnacentral:lncRNA from 1 species
AGAGGGGGCCACAGCCUGGAGGCGGAGCUUGAGGCUGAAAGGAGGCGGAGCCUACGGCUGGGGGAGGAGCUUGAGGCUGAAAGGGGGCGGGGCCAAGCCAAGGGGGCGGGGCCUGAUGGAGAGAAGCCUUUGGAGGAGACCCCAUUGCUGCUCCGUGCGCAGCUCAGUGCUCUCAGCCACAUCCUGACCCUGCAGGAGCGUGAGCUGAACCGGGAGGUGAGAAGUGGGGGGGCUUCUGGGAAACCCCUGGGGGGUGCAGCUGCGGGUGCAGGAUGAGAACCAGAAGGUGCUGAGGGUGCAGGAGGUGACACGGGAGCGGGGCCGGGCGGAGGCGGCUGAACAGGCAGUGAGGGGGCUGUCCCAUGCAAUCACCAGGUAUGGGGGGGCAAUGGGGGGCGGGGGGGGGGAUCCCAGGGUCACCGUGUCACA